rnacentral:tRNA from 1 species
GCUCCGGUAGUAUAGUCCGGUUAAGUAUGGUGGCCUCUCGAGUCAUCGACCCGGGUUCGAAUCCCGGCCGGAGCACCA